rnacentral:rRNA from 1 species
GAUGAACGCUGGCGGCGUGCCUAAUACAUGCAAGUCGAACGCUGGAGAUCUAGCUUGCUAGAUCGAAGGAGUGGCGAACGGGUGAGUAAUACAUAAGCAACCUACCCACGAAGACUGGGAUAAUCUCUGGAAACGGGGACUAAUACCGGAUAGGUAAUCGGAAGGCAUCUUCUGGUUAUUAAAGGUUAAAAACACUGGUGGAUGGGCUUAUGGCGCAUUAGUUAGUUGGUGAGGUAACGGCCCACCAAGACGAUGAUGCGUAGCCGGCCUGAGAGGGUGAACGGCCACAUUGGGACUGAGACACGGCCCAGACUCCAACGGGAGGCAGCAGUAGGGAAUUUUCGGCAAUGGGGGCAACCCUGACCGAGCAACGCCGCGUGAGUGAAGACGGCCUUCGGGUUGUAAAGCUCUGUUGUAAGGGAAGAACGGUAGAUAGAGAAUAUCUAAGUGACGGUACCUUACCAGAAAGCCACGGCUAACUACGUG